UGAUAAGAAGAAACUCACCCCAGCUCCCUCCAUGACAUCCGAAACAGGGCUGACCUUUAUCUAACUACACCCAAGGCUAUUUGCCCAACACUUAGGCAGUAGCUUGGAGAAUCCAGAGUGGUGCCAAGUACCAGGAAGUCCUGUAAAGACAGCUAAAGUACACACAGCAUCGACUUUAUGCACUUAAGUGAAUAUAUUUUAUUCAUAGGCCAUCUUUCAGGGCCUGGCUCUGAGUAUUGGCUUUUUUCUUUUCUUUUCUUUUCUUUUCCUGCAUGAAGCAGAAAGAUAGCAAGAUGUAAGUAUCUGAGAUGUAAGUAAAUCUCAUUGUCUCCCAAUGGUGUUGCCUAACAGCAGUAAUUUAGUUGGGACAUCCUCGCUGGACCACUUGCAACCUAUUUGAUUUGGUCCUCCUGCCUCCAUCUCCCCAACACCUCAUCCAACCACCUUGGCAGGGUCUAGAAUCUUAGUAUGAAGAGAAUAAUUGUUUAGUUCCAGCUGGAAGGAUAAAAAAGAAAAGGUUUAUCAUGAUUCCCAAAACUAGAAAUUAAGAAAUAGGUUUAUAACUCAAGUUUAAGGAAUCUCAGGCCUACCGCAGAUUCAGAUUUGAAUGGAGAAUCCCUUUGUGAAUGAAUUUGACUUGAUAAUUUCCUUGGAAGGAAUUCUUUGAAAAAUAUGCAAGUGUGAUCAAAGAAAAUACAUGUUCUUCUGUUUUCCAUUCCUAGAAAAUAUCAUGGGGGCAGUUCAUUUUGUAUAUAGGAUCAUUGACACAUGAAGGAUUUUUAAAAACUGAGAUCUGAUGCUUACUCUAUCUGCUUUCCCACCUUCAUAGACCCUGCUGGUGUUCUGCAUAAGAGCAUCUCCUCCUUAUCUCACUGAGCAACAAAUUGCAAACAAUUUGUUGCUCAGUGAGAUAAGAGUUCUGCUGGAUCCUGCAAAUGCUUUUUAAAGUGUUCUAAAGAAAUGGAUUCAUUCCCAGUAAUAUCCAUUAGGGCAUUUCAGAGAAGAUGGAUUUUGGCACUUCAGGAAAUCCAGUCCCUUUAAUAAUGGGGCAGAGUGAAGCUCAGUGCCAUCCUUCAGGAGCCAACAGUGAGUUAGGGCAAAAACAUCACAGAGGCACGGCCUAGAAGACCAAGACCUCAG
rnacentral:lncRNA from 1 species